UCUCUCUUGGCGAUCCCCAUCUCUCUCUCCCCCACGACCUACCCACGACAUAUGGCAGCCGAUCCUCCCCUCGGCCCGAAUACCAAAAUCGAUGGAACCUCCGCCGUCUUCGCCUCCCCAUUCCCCACCUCCUCCACCCGGUCCCCAGACGCGGCGUGGCGGGCAUGGAGGUCGAUGACGCGGUGCCGCACGGCGGGGGUGGGGGCGGGGAGUCACCCCACAUCCGGCGACUGGAGGAGUCGGUGGUGAACCGCAUCGCCGCGGGGGAGAUGAUCCAGCGGACCUCGUCGGCGGUGCAGGAUCUCGUCGAGAACAGCAUCGACGCCGACUCCUCCACCAUCUCCGUCACCGUCAAGGACGGCGGCCCCAAGCUCAUCCAGGUCUCCGACGACGGCCACGGCAUCCGGAUCAUCUCCAAGAAGAACCGCCCGAGAUAUGCAAGUACCUCUUCGAGGGUGCAAGGAGAUGAUUGCAUGGAGCAUCUCAUGGGAUAAUAUAAGAGGCAACAGUGGAGAAGAAGAUGUGAAACAAAAGGCGGCGAUGGCGGGAGUUCCGUAUUGGGCAGAGGAAGAGGACGAGAAGAAAGAAGGCUUGGGCAUGAGUGGGUAUUGGGUGGCGGCGGCCUUCAAGUACCUGCCCCAUGGCACCUCACUCUAUAGUAGUGGCAAGCGGCAACGGCAAGAGUUGAAUAUUGUGUAGAGGAAGAGGAUGAGAAGAAACUUGUGGUUCUCAUCCAAUCUUUGUAGAAAUCUCUUUAUGUGCGAUUAUGCAUUUGUUGGGUCCUUUUUCUGUGCACUUGCACUUGCAGAAGUAUUCUGUUGUGCACAUGUAAAAUUAUGGUGAUGUGCACUUCUUAGGCAUUGAACCUUAAUGCAUGGAGUCGGUGGAUGAUGUAUUUUAUUUGAUGUGAUAUGUUACUGAAAUGAAAUAUACAUUUUAUUUGUAA